rnacentral:lncRNA from 1 species
GAUUGUGGGACUCUCUGUUUGCCUUAUGAUGGUUUUCUAAACUUCAGAUUCCAACAGGGAUUUGACCAGACAGGAACAAAGAGGACCUGAGAUCUGGUCCCUCUGAGUUAUAUUCUCCCAGCUCAGUUCCAUGAUUUUGUCUGAAGUAAAUGCCCAAGGUAGCAGAUAAUCCUGCUCUACUAGGAACCUGCCAGUGAUGUCUUCAGCCAACAUUCUCUUCGUAGGCCUCCAGUGGCUAUUUG